CCUGGAAUUGAUUCUGGGCCGUUGGAUCGUGCAGAAUAACUCUUAUUCUCAGUCAGGAACGUCCUCAACCGUCCGAUCAUUUGAUGGAUAAAAUUUCGGCCGUCGAUCAGUGCAAAAGAGGCUUCUGCCACUAUGGACUGCAUCUGUGGACCGUGCCCUGGCUCUGUGGAUCGAUCGACUGAUCCACCGUGCACCGAAGACUAUUUUUAAGGUUUUUUAGGAUAUUUUGGCUUUAU
rnacentral:lncRNA from 1 species